rnacentral:rRNA from 1 species
GUCCACGCCGUAAACGAUGGGUACUAGGCGUCGGGGGGAGCGACCCCUUCGGUGCCGUCGCUAACGCAGUAAGUACCCCGCCUGGGGAGUACGGCCGCAAGGCUGAAACUCAAAAGGAAUUGACGGGGGCCCGCACAAGCGGUGGAGCAUGUGGUUCAAUUCGAAGCAACGCGAAGAACCUUACCUGGGCUUGACAUGCACGGGAAAGCCGGUUGGAAACAUCGGCCCCUCUUCGGAGUCCGUGCACAGGUGCUGCAUGGCUGUCGU